rnacentral:rRNA from 1 species
GAUUAGAUACCCUAUUAUAGAUAACUUAUAAAAAUUAGUAUAAAAAGAAAUUUAAGAUUUUUGGCGGUAGAUUAAUUAAUCAGAGGAGCUUGUUUUAGAAAUUACACUAUAUAUUUUAUUAAUUUUUGUUUAUUUAUCUCCGUUAUAAGGCAUAAAGCUUAAUAAAUUAUCAUUUUUAUUUCAGGUCAAGAUGUAGCAAUAAUUAGAUAAGAUUAGCUACAUUAAUGAAAUUUAUGGAUCUUAAAAGGAAGAUUUUUUUGUAAAAAUGAAUUUGAUUGUAAUUAUAUUUAAAAUUAUAAGAUGAAAAUAUAUUAUUUAUGUACAUAUUGCCCGUCACUUCUUUUGGUAAAAGAGAAUAAGUCGUAACAAAGUAAAUUUAAGGGA